GUAGUCAGAUUCACAUCAAUCCACAUGUGUUGAGGCGGGUUGGAGUGAAACUGGAACUAAAUUCCACCCUAAUUCACUCCAACACAUGUGGAUUGAGGCGAAUCCGACA
rfam:Sorghum bicolor cultivar BTx623 chromosome 10, whole genome shotgun sequence.